UACGGAGGGGGCUAGCGUUGUCCGGAAUCACUGGGCGUAAAGGGCGCGUAGGUGGCCCGACAAGUCAAUGGUGAAAGCUCGACGCUCAACGUCGAGUCGGCCACUGAUACUGUUGGGCUGGAGCACUGUAGAGGCUCAUGGAAUUCCGGGUGUAGCGGUGGAAUGCGUAGAGAUCCGGAAGAACACCGGUGGCGAAGGCGGUGAGCUGGGCAGUAGCUGACACUGAGGAGCGAAAGCGUGGGGAGCGAACAGG
rnacentral:rRNA from 1 species